GUACGGCAUCUUUCUCCCAGUAGGAGAAGGCCAAGGAGAGUGGCCGUCCCCACCUGCAGGCGUGCAGGUGAACAACCCACUUGGAAAAGGAGGUGGACGAAGGGGCUACCAACCAUAGGAAUGAGGCGGAAAACAAGAAGAAACGAAUUAAGAAAACAAUGAUGAACAACCAGAAGAAACCUGUCAAAUGCUAAAAUGUACCACCUUGUCAACCCAAAACCCCAUUAAUGAUAUCUUCGGUAAUAAACAUAAAUUCCAUUCUUAGGUGGAUGCAGGGGCCACGGUCUCAGUGUUUAAAAUGUCUGCCCUGUCUGUCUCCCCCUCAAAGAAAACAAUGUACACAGUGGGAGCGUCUGGAAUUCUGGAGUGGGGAGCGGACAAAUGGAGACACCAAAUCUUGUACUUCUCCGUAUGCCCAGUAAAUUUAUUAGGAAGAGAUUUGAUGUGUAAAAGGAAUUUAUCUGUUGCCUGUUCUGAAGAAGCAUUGUCAUUGGGAUCGAUAGAAAAUGGAAUCUUCCCAUGCCUGAUGAAUUGUUACUGUGCUUGGCACCUGAAUGAUCUCCAUGUUGAGGGACAGCUGAGAGAGCAAUCCCUCUCUCCCCGUUGCAUGGUAACUGGGAAGUGUUUGAAUACCUACAUUGUACUGCUGCUGUUCCCUCAUGCGAAGAGGACCCUGAAUACCAACAGAGAUGGUCAAAACAAAAAGAGAAAAUUGAGAUAACCAUGAAUGGGAUAUACAGAGGAGAAGACUUUGUAGCAGCUGGAGUGUUGUUGAUGGAUACUCAGAUGAGUUUGUAUGAAGUCCCUGGCUCUGUUCCCCAUUGUAGCUUAUCAAAAACUCCAGAAAAACAAUGGAAAGAUGUGGGUAUUUGGAUGAAGAAAGUGAUGGAAGCAACUGAUUGGGUGGCCUGGGAAGGGGAAGGACAGUGGUCAGCUUCUACAGCAACUUUCUAUUCCCCAUACUGGGCUACUGCAGUGACCAAGAAAAUAACCAAUUCCCGUUGAAACCAUGCCUGUGGUAUUACAAGAUAAUUCACAUAUUGAUUGGCUAAAAGAUAUCCCUGAAGAACAUUGGGCUAAAUCAAAGACCGACAUUGGAUGCAUGAAAGGAGCUGCACCAGUUGUGAUAAUUCCAAAAAGCUCCCACAGACCUUACAAAGCUCAGUACCCUCUUAGCAAGGAAGCCGAAAAGGGUAUCAUUCCCAUUCAUAGUGUGUUAGUUGAAAGAGGCACUCUGGUUCCCUCCCCAAAUUCGCCUUGUAACACAGAUGGCAGCAGUUCCAGCUCCCACCAACCCUUUCUAUGUUGAUGACGUGGUUGCUUUGCAGGCAACGGCUGAUGAGUCAGAGAGACUUAAGUGGGCUGGGUACUGUCGUAAAGACGCAUCGGGUGUAUGGCUGGAUGAGAGGAGCAGACCGUUGUACUUUCCAUUUCCUUGCCAAAUUGUCACAUGGUCAGGAUCAUAUGUCCAAAGGAGGGAUGGUGGAUCUUGUGGAGCUGAGCACUGUUUGAGCCCAGGUGAUUUCGUGGUGGUCAAAGACUUCAGGAGAAAGAGUUGGAAGAGGGGUCCAAGUUCCAAGUUCUUCUGACCACCCCCACUGUGGUGAAGGUUGCUGAGAGAGAUACCUGGAUCCACGUGUUGCACUGCAGACGAGUUCCUGAUCCAGGAGAAAUGAGGCUUUGCCAGUUCAAGUGGUGCAGUCUGGCCCUCUGUGUUAGCACAGGAGUGCUUAUAAGAACAGUAGGUUGUCCUAUUGUCGGAAACCUGACAGAGGAUGAGAUAAGUCCUGAGCCAACGGGGCCAAUGCCGGUCCGGAGUAGUGGCACAGAAGUAGAUGAUCAUUGGGCCCUCAUAACCAUGAGGAAAAUCUGUUCCUCUCUAGAGCAGAAAUGGUUGCUAAUCUUACAUCUGGACAAAACGAGUGUGUGGGUUGGGGCCAAUUAAGGUAGGAGCAGGUUACCACUUGUGGGAGUUUCCAUAGGGGUCAAUCUGAAUAUACAAAUAGCCUUGACCCUGACCCCAUGAUGUUUUCUGCAUUAUAUAACCACAUAGGCCCACCAUCGUUUGAUAGGCCAGAGAAUACUUUACUCCCACCCAUGUCAGUAGCAGGAGUGAUUGCAGCCCCUUGGUGUAUUAGAGGAGAAAGAAGUAAUCAUUUGGGUGAACUAGAAUGUAAUUGUACAAUGUAUUACAAAGGGUCCAAUACCUGUAAGUUAACUGUUAACAAUGCCGUCACUGGAUGAGCUUUCUUUUCCCCCUGUAGAUAAGGACGAUGAGUGAGAAUUGGAGGUUGUUUUUGUUUGACAAGUUUAGAUGGCCCAAGCGGAUUUGUUUUAUGUUUUGACUAGUCUCAGGAACAGUUGGUGCGGAACAGAUGUCGCUGCAACCCGAUGGUGGUAACAACUAUGUAAACAAUGGUUAAACAUUGAGAGAUUUAGUCAACCCUAAAUUUGCAGAUCCCUUGUGUAUGUGUGUGCAAUUUAUAUUGUAAAACCCAGAGUGAAGGGCUUGUAAGAUUGGAGUGUCUGGUGCAACGUGUUGAUUUCACUUACUUUAAUAAAACCUCCUUUGAUAGAAGCUAUAAUCUAAUGCUUACAUAAAAUGUUUACAAUAAUUAUCACAGUAAUAAAAGAAGGGAAUGUGAGGGAAAAGUUAUGUUCAAUAAUCAAAUCAAUGCUACAAAAUAUCGAAUCAAGGCUACUUUCUAAUAACUAAUUAGAAAGGUUCAUGCAGGUGACUGACUGAUCGUCUAUGGAGGAAUCCUCACUAUCACUGUUCAUCAACUUGGUAGUACGCCCAGAAUAUUGCUAUGGGAACAACCAAGGUAUCUCAGUUUCAAGGUCUCAACUUGGAGAGAGAGCCUCGUGAGGUAUUGGUCAGUCACAUGUGCGAGCCACCAGUAGUGAUUAAUGAAUUAUGCUAAAUCAUGCAAAUAUAACUUGUCUGUGUAUAGCCGAAUAUAAGACAACUGCAGGGACCACCCCAACAGAGCUUCUGAUAGAUGUGUGCAGAGUUUGCUGUAACCUCUCCAGCUUGCUGAUAAUAAAGAG
rnacentral:lncRNA from 1 species